UACGUAGGCAGCAAGCGUUGUUCGGAGUUACUGGGCGUAAAGAGUGCGUAGGCGGUGCUCUAAGUUUGGUGUGAAAUCUCCCGGCUUAACUGGGAGGUGCGCCGAAAACUGGAGUGCUUGAGUAUGGGAGAGGCAAGCGGAAUUCCUGGUGUAGCGGUGAAAUGCGUAGAUAUUGGGAAGAACACCGGUGGCGCAAGCGGCUUGCUGGGCUGUAACUGACGCUGAGGAACGAAAGCUAGGGGAGCGAAUGGG
rnacentral:rRNA from 1 species